CAGCCGCCACGGGAAUACAUAGGUGGCGAGCGUUGUCCGGAAUUAUUGGGCGUAAAGGGAGCGCAGGCGGACAUAUAAGUCCAUCUUAAAAGUGCGGGGCUCAACCCCGUGAGGGGAUGGAAACUGUAUGCCUUGAGUGCAGGAGAGGAAAGCGGAAUUCCCAGUGUAGCGGUGAAAUGCGUAGAUAUUGGGAGGAACACCAGUGGCGAAGGCGGCUUUCUGGACUGUAACUGACGCUGAGGCUCGAAAGCCAGGGGAGCGAACGGGAUUAGAUACCCGCGUAGUCCCUGUCUCUUAUACA
rnacentral:rRNA from 1 species